CCUGCCGAGGAUGAAGCGAUACCGCCCCAGACUGAGCCCUGUGAUUGAUCGGUCCCUCUGAGGCUCU